AUUGAACGCUGGCGGCAGGCCUAACACAUGCAAGUCGAACGAGUGGCGGACGGGUGAGUAAUGUCUGGGAAACUGCCCGAUGGAGGGGGAUAACUACUGGAAACGGUAGCUAAUACCGCAUACCAUCGGAUUUGCCCAGCUGGGCUUAGCUUGUAGGUGAGGUAACGGCUCACCUAGGCGACGAUCCCUAGCUGGGCUGUGAGGAGGACCAGCCGAGGUGGAACUGAGACACGGUCGAGACUCCUGAGGGAGGCAGCAGUGGGGAAUAUUGCAAAAUGGGCGCAGUUCGGAGGCAGCCAUGCCGCGUGGAUGAAGAAGGCCUUCGGGUUGUAAAGUACUUUCAGCGGGGAGGCGUGACCCGCAGAAGAAGCACCGGCUAACGCCGUGCCAGCAGCCGCGGUAAUUC
rnacentral:rRNA from 1 species